rnacentral:tRNA from 1 species
GAGUCUGUAGCUCAGCUGGAUAGAGCAACGGCCUUCUAAGCCGUCGGUCGGGGGUUCGAAUCCCUUCAGGUACGCCA